rnacentral:rRNA from 1 species
GACGAACGCUGGCGGCGUGCCUAAUACAUGCAAGUCGAGCGAAGUUUUUCUGGUGCUUGCACCGGAAAAACUUAGCGGCGAACGGGUGAGUCACACGUAAAGAACCUGCCUUAUAGACUGGGACAACUAUUGGAAACGAUAGCUAAUGCCGGAUAACAGCAUUAACUGCAUGGUUGAUGUUUGAAAGUUGGUUUUGCUAACACUAUGAGAUGGCUUUGCGGUGCAUUAGCUAGUUGGUGGGGUAAAGGCCUACCAAGGCGACGAUGCAUAGCCGACCUGAGAGGGUGAUCGGCCACACUGGGACUGAGACACGGCCCAGACUCCUACGGGAGGCAGCAGUAGGGAAUCUUCCGCAAUGGGCGAAAGCCUGACGGAGCAACGCCGCGUGAGUGAAGAAGGAUUUCGGUUCGUAAAGCUCUGUUGUUAGGGAAGAAUGAAUGUGUAGUAACUAUACACAGUAGAGACGGUACCUAACCAGAAAGCCACGGCUAACUACGUG